rnacentral:lncRNA from 1 species
UGGGCCCUUAGAAGAGGUAUUUUAUAAAAGUAUAAAACUAUUGAGGAGUGCUACAAUCAUCUACCAGAUGAUAUAUCUCUACUAGUUUAAAAACAAAUAAUGGAUAAACAAAGAAAGAAGAAUUGACAGAUCUUUUUAUUUUUUAUGAAUCAGUGGUGGAGGACAGCUAGAAAGUUAGGGGGCUGAUCUUUCAGUUCUUCAGAUCAUGUUGGAUGGUGGCACUUGAUGGAGACUUCCCACUUCGGGGGGCCC